AAAAACGACUYUCGGCAACGGAUAUYUCGGCUCUUGCAUCGAUGAAGAACGUAGCGAAAUGCGAUACUUGGUGUGAAUUGCAGAAUCCCGUGAACCAUCGAGUCUUUGAACGCAAGUUGCGCCCGAAGCCAUUUGGUUGAGGGCACGCCUGCCUGGGUGUCGUG
rnacentral:rRNA from 1 species